UGGGGAAUUUUGGACAAUGGGCGAAAGCCUGAUCCAGCAAUGCCGCGUGUGUGAAGAAGGCCUUCGGGUUGUAAAGCACUUUUGUCCGGAAAGAAAUCCUUGGCUCUAAUACAGUCGGGGGAUGACGGUACCGGAAGAAUAAGCACCGGCUAACUACGUGCCAGCAGCCGCGGUAAUACGUAGGGUGCAAGCGUUAAUCGGAAUUACUGGGCGUAAAGCGUGCGCAGGCGGUUUGCUAAGACCGAUGUGAAAUCCCCGGGCUCAACCUGGGAACUGCAUUGGUGACUGGCAGGCUAGAGUAUGGCAGAGGGGGGUAGAACUCCACGUGUAGCAGUGAAAUGCGUAGAGAUGUGGAGGAAUACCGAUGGCGAAGGCAGCCCCCUGGGCAAUACUGACGCUCAUGCACGAAAGCGUGGGGAGCAAACAGGAUUAGAUACCCUGGUAGUCCACGCCCUAAACGAUGUCAACUAGUUGUUGGGGAUUCAUUCCUUAGUAACGUAGCUAACGCGUGAAGUUGACCGCCUGGGGAGUACGGUCGCAAGAUUAAAACUCAAAUGAAUUGAC
rnacentral:rRNA from 1 species